rnacentral:rRNA from 1 species
AGAUUGAACGCUGGCGGGGUGCGUGAGACAUGCAAGUCGAACGAGGUGCCAUCGGGCUUGCUCGAUGGCUACCUAGUGGCGGACGGCUGAGUAACGCGUAGGUGACCUACCCGGAAGUGGGGAAUAACUGCCCGAAAGGGUGGCUAAUACCGCAUACGGUCGACGAUUCGCUUCGUCGUCCAAAGGAGUAAUCCGCUUCCGGCGGGGCCUGCGUCCGAUUAGCUAGUUGGUGGGGUAACGCUCACCAAGGCGACGAUCGGUAGCUGGUCUGAGAGGAUGAUCAGCCAGACUGGACUGAGAACGGCCCAGACUCCGUAACGGGAGGCAGCAGGUCGGGAAUUUCGACCAAUGGAACGAAAGUCGUAGAGGCAGACAACUCCGCGUGGAGGGACGAAGGCUCGUACGGGUACGUAAACC